rnacentral:rRNA from 1 species
UACGUAGGGUGCGAGCGUUAAUCGGAAUUACUGGGCGUAAAGCGUGCGCAGGCGGUGAUGUAAGACCGAUGUGAAAUCCCCGGGCUUAAACUGGGAACUGCAUUGGUGACUGCAUUGCUGGAGUAUGGCAGAGGGGGGUGGAAUUCCACGUGUAGCAGUGAAAUGCGUAGAGAUGUGGAGGAACACCGAUGGCGAAGGCAGCCCCCUGGGCCAAUACUGACGCUCAUGCACGAAAGCGUGGGGAGCAAACAGG